GGAUGUGAGGGUGAUCUGGCUGCAACAUCUAUCACCCCAUUGAUCGCUAGGGUUAAUUUAGCUGAUCUGGCUGGCUAGGCAGGUGUCCCCUUCCUCCCUCACCACUCCAUGCACGUCCCUCCCAAAGCUGCAGGGUCGGUUACAGGCUUCCCUGAAUAGAGAUGAACUGGUGUUCAGUCAAGGGUAUAUGGUCAAGGGUAGCUGCACUCCCCUACUAGAAUCUCCAAACAAGUUCUCAAGAAAUAGAACCUCUGUGAGGCCAACCAACUAGCCAAGAGGGUCACAGCCAGUCAGU
ensembl:misc_RNA 7SK 7SK RNA